rnacentral:rRNA from 1 species
UACGUAGGGGGCAAGCGUUGUCCGGAUUCAUUUGGGCGUAAAGAGCUCGUAGGCGGCUUGGCAAGUCGGGUGUGAAACCUCCAGCUCAACCUGGAGACGCCACCCGAUACUGCCAUGGCUAGAGUCCGGUAGGGGACCACGGAAUUCCUGGUGUAGCGGUGGAAAUGCGCAGAUAUCAGGAGGAACACCGGUGGCGAAGGCGGUGGUCUGGGCCGGAACUGACGCUGAGGAGCGAAAGCGUGGGGAGCGAACAGG